rnacentral:rRNA from 1 species
GACGGAGGGUGCUAGCGUUGUUCGGAAUCACUGGGCGUAAAGGGCGCGCAGGCGGCCGCGUCAGUCGGGUGUGAAAGCCCGGGGCUCAACCCCGGAGCGGCACCCGAGACGGCGCGGCUGGAGACCGGGAGAGGAGGGUGGAAUAGCCAGUGUAGAGGUGAAAUUCGUAGAUAUUGGCUGGAACACCGGUGGCGAAAGCGGCUCUCUGGCCCGGUUCUGACGCUGAGGCGCGAAAGCGUGGGGAGCAAACAGG